rnacentral:rRNA from 1 species
CCGCCUGGGGAGUACGGUCGCAAGAUUAAAACUCAAAGGAAUUGACGGGGGCCUGCACAAGCGGUGGAGCAUGUGGUUUAAUUUGAAGCAACGCGCAGAACCUUACCAACGUCUGACAUCCUCAUCGCGAUUUCCAGAGAUGGAUUUCUUCAGUUCGGCUGGAUGAGUGACAGGUGCUGCAUGGCUGUCGUCAGCUCGUGUCGUGAGAUGUUGGGUUAAGUCCCGCAACGAGCGCAACCCUCGCCUUUAGUUGCCAUCAUUUAGUUGGGUACUCUAAAGGAACCGCCGGUGAUAAGCCGGAGGAAGGUGGGGAUGACGUCAAGUCCUCAUGGCCCUUACGCGUUGGGAUACACACGUGUUACAAUGGCGACUACAGUGGGCAGCGACCAUGCGAGUGGAAGUUAAUCUCCAAAAGUCGUCUCAGUUCGGAUUGUUCUCUGCAACUCGAGAGCAUGAAGUCGGAAUCGCUAGUAAUCGCGGAUCAGCAUGCCGCGGUGAAUACGUUCCCAGGCCUUGUACACACCGCCCGUCACACCAUGGGAGUUGGUUUCACCCGAAGGCAGUGCGCUAACCGCAAGGAGGCAGCUGACCACGGUGGGAUCAGCGACUGGGGUGAAGUCGUAACAAGGUAGCCGUAGGGGAACCUGCGGCUGGAUCACCUCCUUGAGCUUGGAUUCCCGGGAAUCGAAUUCCCGCGC